rnacentral:lncRNA from 1 species
UAAUAAUAUUUCAUUUUUAAGGUGGUACCUAACACUACAGGGAGAUAACUCUGUAAAGUCAGCUAAACGUUUUAAUUACGUUGUGUUGUAAAGGGAAUGUUAAGCUUCUCAAUGAUCAAAAUUGGUGUUUGUCAAACUGCUAUAUAACCAGUGUAUUUUUUCUGACAAAACGGUUGGUUCAAAAUUUUGGAAUUUUUUAUAUUUUUGUUAGAGGGUCAAAGUAAAUACAUUGUCCAAAUUUUAUGAAAAUUAAACGAGCCAAAUUAAUUUAAGUGAAAGUGUUGG